UACGUAGGGGGCAAGCGUUGUCCGGAUUCAUUGGGCGUAAAGAGCGUGUAGGCGGCCAGGUAGGUCGGUUGUGAAAACUGGAGGCUCAACCUUCAGACGUCGACCGAAACCAUCUGGCUAGAGUCCGGGAGAGGAGAGUGGAAUUCCUGGUGUAGCGGUGAAAUGCGUAGAGAUCGGGAGGAACACCAGAGGCGAAGGCGGCUAGCUGGACAGUCACUGACACUCAACAACGAAAGCGUGGGGAGCAAACAGG
rnacentral:rRNA from 1 species